rnacentral:rRNA from 1 species
AUGGCGACGUUUGAGGAGCGUGUGUUGAAGGAGUUGGCCGCCCUCAAGGAGAUUGGUGAACAGGUCGCGCGCAUCGACGGGAUCAGUGCACGGCUUGAUGGCCUCGACAUGAAGUUCUCCGAGCAGGUGCAUCGCCUGGACCAAGUGCAAGUGAAGGUUGAUCUCUCGGUUACUUCCAUCGGGGAGAUCCACCAGGAACAAGUGCAGGUGGCUCGCGUGAUCAAGGAGUCCCAUAGUACUCAAGAUGCAGAUCUGGACCGGCUCGCGCAGCCCGGCUGUUUUGCAGCGUCUCCGACCGCCGCGCAGGCAGCGUCCACCACCCAAGUACCCCCUCCGCUCCGUCGACCCUUCGAUCCUGGACGACCACCGCAGUCCCCGUGCCCCCUGAUGAGCAGAGCUCCAAGCGGCCAUGGAUGCCAAAGAUGGAGUUUCCCCGAUUUGAUGGCGAAGGGGUGCGCAUGUGGUUGGACAACUGCGAGGUCUACUUCCAGCUGUACCAAAUUCCCGAAGGAUUCAAGCUUAUGUCUGCGUCUCUGCAUUUACAAGGUAAUGUUGCCCGUUGGUAUCAAGCAUGAAAUCAGGUCUGUGGUUGAGAUCCAGUUACCUGCUACUGUGGGACUGGCAGCAGAAUACGCCUUGGUGCAAGAAGCACUUUUAGAACGUCAGAAAGUGCAGACAACAAAAGUAAACAGUUUAGCAGUCCCAAAUACACUGCAAAUCGCCAAGACCAGCCUGUUCGACCCCAGUUCGCUGCAGGAGACUUAUGGCGUGCAAAACAACUUAAGGAAUUCAGGAGAGCAAAUGGACUCUGCUACAGUUGUGGAGAGAAAUAAAAUCAGGGAAAUUGAAGGACAGUUAUCGGAUGAGAUUCUGAACGCCAUUUCUGCUGAGGAGGCCGUAGAAGAAGUAGCAGCUUACUUAUCUGUCAAUGCUAUAGCUGGUUCUGAAAAUCCUAAAACAAUCAGACUUCGGGCUCUAGUUGAAAACAAAGUUAUGUUACUACUAGUGGAUUCAGGGAGUUCUCAUACAUUCAUUGACAGGCAAUUAGUAGACAAACUGAAACACAAAGGAACUACUCUCACCAAACCACUGCAAGUGAAAGUGGCCAAUGGAGAUCAACUUCAAUGUGAUACUGAAAUGGCAGGCUUACAAUGGUGGAUCAGUGGACACACUUUCACUUCUGACAUGAAAGUUAUUGAUCUUGGUGGGUAUGAUGCAAUCUUAGGUAUGGAUUGGCUUGCCAAGUGGGGAGCCAUGACUUGUCACUGGGAAGAGAAGUGGCUACAGUUUGAUAAACAAGGUCAACAGAUUAAACUACAAGGGGUGAUAGAGAAAGAACAAACUGGACUCAAGGCCAUUUCUAUGGAACAAAUGCUCAAAUGGCACAAAGGUAAUGACAUAUGGGCUACUGCUGUACUAUCUCCAACUCUGCACACUGAAAAUCAGGAGAUGCCAGAGUGCAUUACCAAAGUCCUAGCAGAUUUUACUGAUGUGUUUGAAGAUCCUCAACAGUUAAAACCUCACAGAUUGAGUUUGCCACAUGGGAAGAUUACACGGCGCUCCAGAAGAGGUUUUCACAGGCAGCAGCUUGGGGACAAGCAGCUCCUCAAGGGGAGGGCACAGCUCCUCAAGGGGAGGGCACUGUCAUCGCCCCUAAUCUGGCAGGCGAUGCAAAGCAUGGCAAUGAACCACCAAAGGAGGCGACAAGGUUUACCCAAGGCAAGGACACGACACGCCGCCAGCGUGCCCCGCCCUCAUCUGGUCAAGGGCGCGGCGGAGCAGGACUCCGGCACGUUCGGUGACCGGCUGGACUUCUGCAAGGCGAACCUGUUCACGGGGCGGGGCGCGGCGCGGAGGGCGGGGAGGAGUGCGAGGAGCCGUCGGUGGCGCAGGAGAGGAUCAUGCACCGGAUCAACUCCAAGAUGGCGCACAAGUCGUACCAGCUGGGGCAGCAGCUAUCGUUGCGGUGGACGACCGGCGUCGGGCCGCGGAUCGGGUGCGUGCGUGACUACCCGCCGGAGCUGCAGUUCCGGUUGCUGGAGGAUUCAGGCUUUGAAAUUGUGCCAAAAUUUGUACUGCAUCCUUAGUUUAGCGCAUCCCUCGCACCACGAGGAAAAUAUCAUGGAAUUGACAAGAGCAAGGCAGGAGAUAUGCUGGGAGCCAAAAUCAAUAGCGCCCAGACUGCAUGCAGAUAUAUAUAGCCUCAACAAGAUGAAUUGUGAGAUCGAGCUCCUUCAGUUUCAGCAUAAGCCCCCGCAUAAAUCAUCACCUUUGGAGCAGUGCUUAGUCCCAAACCAUUAA